AAGGGGGCGGGGUGCUAAUACUGCAAGUCGAGCGAACUGAUUAGAAGCUUGCUUCUAUGACGUUAGCGGCGGACGGGCCAUUACACGUGGGCAACCUGCCUGUAAGACUGGGAUAACUUCGGGAAACCGAAGCUAAUACCGGAUAGGAUCUUCUCCUUCAUGGGAGAUGAUUGAAAGAUGGUUUCGGCUAUCACUUACAGAUGGGCCCGCGGUGCAUUAGCUAGUUGGUGAGGUAACGGCUCACCAAGGCAACGAUGCAUAGCCGACCUGAGAGGGUGAUCGGCCACACUGGGACUGAGACACGGCCCAGACUCCUACGGGAGGCAGCAGUAGGGAAUCUUCCGCAAUGGACGAAAGUCUGACGGAGCAACGCCGCGUGAGUGAUGAAGGCUUUCGGGUCGAAA
rnacentral:rRNA from 1 species